rnacentral:misc_RNA from 1 species
UACGAGGGGUGCAAGCGUUAUUCGGAAUUAUUGGGCGUACAGGGUGUGCAGGCGGCACGUUAAGUCUGUUGUUAAAGAUCUCGGCCUAACCGAGGGAAGGCGAUGGAUACUGGUGUGCUUGAGGAUGGAAGAGAGAAGUGGAAUUCUUGGAGUAGCGGUAAAAUGCGUAGAUCUCAAGAGGAACACCAAUGGCGAAAGCAGCUUCUUGGCCCAUUCCUGACGCUGAGACACGAAAGCGUGGAUAGCGAACAGG